UACGAAGGGGGCUAGCGUUGCUCGGAAUUACUGGGCGUAAAGGGCGCGUAGGCGGCACUGUUAGUCAGGCGUGAAAGUCCUGGGCUCAACCUGGGAACUGCGCUUGAUACGGCAGAGCUAGAGGAUGGAAGAGGGUCGCGGAAUUCCCAGUGUAGAGGUGAAAUUCGUAGAUAUUGGGAAGAACACCGGUGGCGAAGGCGGCGACCUGGUCCAUUACUGACGCUGAGGCGCGAAAGCGUGGGGAGCAAACAGG
rnacentral:rRNA from 1 species